GUACUAUGAAAAGCAAAGUAAAUAAUGUUUGAUAUGAUAAAAGCACAAAAGUUAUUUUAGAAGUUAGUAGUAACAUUAAUAUAUUCAUUGGCAUCUUUUCAAAUAGAACACAGGAAAUGACAAGAAACUGAGAUCACAUGCCUAUAUUGGCAUUAAGGUCAACGCUAGAGUUCAAAUUCAAAUCAAUCCAUUCUUUUGCUACACUUUACCAGCUAAAGCCAAAUGAUUGUGAGAUCUUUUCAUAUUUCCUAGCUUCUGCUUCACCCCCAGUGUGUUCCAAACGCUAUCUUUGACGUUAGGCCUCAGGAAGUGAUGAAUCCGUUGAAUCCUCAUCUUUUGGCCUGAGAACACCUGUUAAUGGAGCCAAUUAAGGUAAAGGAUGACAGAGAUUUGGAGGAGAUGCUGACACUUGUCCAGGAGGAGCUGUGCUGAGACUGCCCAUCGAAGUCCUAAAUAAACCACCAAACAGCUGUCAAAGGGUAAGGAUUUGAAGGUCUGGCCCAAGCCUGAGUUUAGUAACAGUAAUGAAGUGAACACCUUUGGAUCCUGUGGUUGAAGAAAUGUGUCUUCCUUGAUAUGGAGACAUCACAGUAAAGGAUGGAUAUUGUAGUCCUAUAUCUGAGAAGAAUCUACUGAAAAUAUCUAUUAUCUCUAUUCAAAGCACCUCUGCAUUCCACAGUGAGUCAGGUGAGAGGGAUGAGAGGAGUCUGUAGUGUCGAUGUGCUCAUUUCAGCCAGAAUAACUAAUAACAUGUUUGAAAUCUAGUAGCACUUCACUGCUUUGGAAAUAAGACUGGGGGCACCUUGAAUUAUUUUCUCCACAUUGAUUAAUUGGAGCCAACUCAAGGUACAUAUGACCUCUCACACCCCCAAGAGCCUGCAAUCUGCAUUUCCAAGAGACCACUGCAGAGAUUUCCACAGCACCUCUGCUUCUCUAAUGACAUGGGCACAAGAUUCCACCCUUAUUUCACAUUCAGCCAAUGCAGCUCUGCACAUGGAAAGGAAGUUCUUAACCCCUGUUGACAUAAGGCAAUUGAAGAAAAUGCAAGAGGGCCUUUGAAACAUUCCAUCAGGGGCUUGCAGAGGACGUCUGGCAGCACAGCACCUGACCAACUUCAGGAGAACAAAGCCUCCAUCUGGACCGAAGGGAAAGAGAGCCGGUCGCCUGUGGAGCAGCAGAGAACAAGGCUCUGCUUCCCUUUGAAGCACUGGCGUUCUUCUUAAUCACCUGGCAAAGUCUUAAUUUAAAGAGGGACUCUUAGAGAAGGGGGGAAUCUCAAGUAUAUUUGACUUUCAUAUCAAAUCUACUUACCUUUCAUCAGGUUUAUUAAAAUUGGUGAUGUGUUAAUUGUGAACCCUGUUUGUCUCUGAAUAUGAAGUACUGCCUUUAGGGUCCCCCCUCCUUGCUCUGUUUUGUCUUAGGAUACACUCACAUUGCUGCCUUGGCCAUGGACUAAUUAUUUCUGGGGAGAAAUACUGUGAUGUCAGGCUGCUGGGUUACUGUUGUUGCAGGGUAAACAGAAGAGGAUGUUAGAUUCUUAGAAUGCCUAAUUAGAAAACAAAAAAUGCAUUGCAGGAUGGCUAAAAAAGUACAAGCCUAGGAAAUAUUGCAUUUUUCACCAGUGGAUAUUACAUGUAUUGAGACAUUUUCUAUAUUGACUCUUAAGAAUUAAAUAUUGUGAAGGAAUUCUUUUACCUUUUUAGGAAGGUAUCUGAAAGAUGCAUUUUGGAGAAAUACGUAAAAUCCAUAAAGUUAUGGUCUUGGGAGGAGUAUUCAGUUUCAUAUCGUGAGUGGGAAAAAAGUCAGUGAUUCCAAUACACUCCCCUCACCCAGAUUCCACCACAGGAUGCUUUUUUUUUUUUUUUUAAUAAGGGAUAAGUCAUUUUUUAAUUUUAUACUUGAUAUUGGGUCCUGGAUGCAGCCAUAUGUUGGGAUACAAGGAACAUAAUGUACUUCCUGUCGUAAAAGAGUUUGUAACCUAUAUGUGGGAAAUGAAAUCAUCUGGAAACAGUACAAACAUAGAAUCGAGCAUCACAAAUAUCAAUGGGAAACUGGAAGAAGUCAAUUUUAGUCAAAGACAGAGGUGACUGGGCUCAUGGAAUUGCAGUUAGAGAUCAACUUUAAAAGUUUCAGAGUUGGGCAGCCUGGGUGGCUCAGCGGUUUAGCGCUCCCUUCAGCCCAGGGUGUGAUCCUGGAGACCCAGGAUCGAGUCCCACAUCAGGCUCCCUGCAUGGAGCCUGCUUCUCCCUCUCCUGUGUCUUUGCCUUUCUCUCUCUCUCUCUGUGUCUCUUAUGAAUAAAUAAAUAAAAUCUUAAAAAAAUAAAUAAAAG
rnacentral:lncRNA from 12 species